CGCGAACAUUUGAUUCGCGGGAAGCCUGAAGCAGGGAACCAGAAGUCACACCUUCUACCAAUCCCUCAUCUCAGCCCCUGAUCCACACAACCUGAAUCCCAUCCCAAUAUGUCUGCAGUACCAGUAUUCAGGCAGAAAUGCUUCCCCCUAGCACUACUGCAGCUGUGGGUAAGUCCAAAUUUAACCCUUCCUGUCCUCAUGUCUGUCAGUGUGCAGCCCUGCUUUAACACUUUUGUUCCCAAAUCACUGCUGAGUGCAUUGAGGUAUGUGAAAAACAAGCUUUUUAAUAUUACAACAUGCAGAAUUAAGUAUCUCAGUCAUCUUAACCUCACUCCAAG